rnacentral:rRNA from 1 species
AGAGUUUGAUCAUGGCUCAGAUUGAACGCUGGCGGCAGGCCUAACACAUGCAAGUCGAACGGUAGCGGGAAGAAGCUUGCUUCUUUGCCGACGAGUGGCGGACGGGUGAGUAAUGUCUGGGAAACUGCCCGAUGGAGGGGGAUAACUACUGGAAACGGUAGCUAAUACCGCAUAACGUCUACGGACCAAAGUGGGGGACCUUCGGGCCUCACACCAUCGGAUGUGCCCAGAUGGGAUUAGCUAGUAGGUGGGGUAACGGCUCACCUAGGCGACGAUCCCUAGCUGGUCUGAGAGGAUGACCAGCCACACUGGAACUGAGACACGGUCCAGACUCCUACGGGAGGCAGCAGUGGGGAAUAUUGCACAAUGGGCGCAAGCCUGAUGCAGCCAUGCCGCGUGUAUGAAGAAGGCCUUCGGGUUGUAAAGUACUUUCAGCGGGGAGGAAGGGUAAAAGAUUAAUAACCUUUUUCAUUGACGUUACCCGCAGAAGAAGCACCGGCUAACCCCGUGCCAGCAGCCGCGGUAAUACGGAGGGUGCAAGCGUUAAUCGGAAUUACUGGGCGUAAAGCGCACGCAGGCGGUCUGUCAAGUCGGAUGUGAAAUCCCCGGGCUUAACCUGGGAACUGCAUUCGAAACUGGCAGGCUAGAGUCUUGUAGAGGGGGGUAGAAUUCCAGGUGUAGCGGUGAAAUGCGUAGAGAUCUGGAGGAAUACCGGUGGCGAAGGCGGCCCCCUGGACAAAGACUGACGCUCAGGUGCGAAAGCGUGGGGAGCAAACAGGAUUAGAUACCCUGGUAGUCCACGCCGUAAACGAUGUCGACUUGGAGGCUGUUCCCCUGAGGAGUGGCUUCCGGAGCUAACGCGUUAAGUCGACCGCCUGGGGAGUACGGCCGCAAGGUUAAAACUCAAAUGAAUUGACGGGGGCCCGCACAAGCGGUGGAGCAUGUGGUUUAAUUCGAUGCAAACGCGAAGAACCUUACCUGGCCUUGACAUCCACGGAAUUUUGCAGAGAUGCGGAAGUGCCUUCGGGAACCGUGAGACAGGUGCUGCAUGGCUGUCGUCAGCUCGUGUUGUGAAAUGUUGGGUUAAGUCCCGCAACGAGCGCAACCCUUAUCCUUUGUUGCCAGCGAUUCGGUCGGGAACUCAAAGGAGACUGCCGGUGAUAAACCGGAGGAAGGUGGGGAUGACGUCAAGUCAUCAUGGCCCUUACGGCCAGGGCUACACACGUGCUACAAUGGCGCAUACAAAGAGAAGCGACCUCGCGAGAGCAAGCGGACCUCAUAAAGUGCGUCGUAGUCCGGAUCGGAGUCUGCAACUCGACUCCGUGAAGUCGGAAUCGCUAGUAAUCGUAGAUCAGAAUGCUACGGUGAAUACGUUCCCGGGCCUUGUACACACCGCCCGUCACACCAUGGGAGUGGGUUGCAAAAGAAGUAGGUAGCUUAACCUUCGGGAGGGCGCUUACCACUUUGUGAUUCAUGACUGGGGUGAAGUCGUAACAAGGUAACCGUAGGGGAACCUGCGGUUGGAUCACCUCCUUA